CUUUCAUUAUGCAGCUUUCUCAGAGCUGGCAAGGCAUUCAUAAUAAUGAAAUAAUCUUUGUGUUUGGAAACAGCAAAACAGAAGACAGGGAGGCAGACAGAUGUUUUUCAGGGAAAAUUAUAGACUGUUAGGCAAAAUACAGAACAGUCUUUCACACUGCUUGUUGAGUGUCUCUUUGAAUGCAUCAUCCCAUCACCAUUGCCCAGAGAUGAGCUUUACUUAGGUCAAAUCUCCAUCCCCUUCACAGACCACUGUAUGAUUCACUUGUCAUCCCAUGACCAGCAGUAAACAGCAAGACAAGUUUGUUUCACGAUACAGAGUUUUAAUCAAUAUUAGAAAACAAAAUGCAGUCAGGAGCUUAAAAAAUAACCUUUGGGCUUUUUAACACUCACUAGGGUGGGUAUGGGAGUCCCAAUAGAAAGAACAAGUUUUCCUUGUUGAACAUGUCAGUUGUGAGACAAAGUACAUUUCACUUCAAAAGUAGUUAAGAAAUUAGGGAAUGACAAAACUAUACAGGACGCUGACUAGACUUUUCUCUAUGAAGUAGGUGUAUCAUACAAACAUCAGAUACUCAUUGACAGUCAGUUACUGACAAUGCUUAAGUAAACAUGAUGUAAUAUUGAUUUACAAUUACAAAUUCCAAUGGCCCCUGUUGAUGAACCA